UACGUAGGUGGCCUUUUAAGCGUAGGGUAUAAGGCAAUGGCUCAACCAUUGUUCGCCCUAUGAACUGGAAGGCUUGAGUGCAGGAGAGGAAAGCGGAAUUCCUAGUGUAGCGGUGGAAUGCAUAGAUAUUAGGAGGAACAUCAGCGGCGAAGGCGGCUUUCUGGACUGCAACUGACACUGAGGUACGAAAGCGUGGGGAGCAAACA
rnacentral:rRNA from 1 species